rnacentral:rRNA from 1 species
AAACUAACAAGGAUUCCCCUAGUAACGGCGAGUGAAGCGGGAUGAGCUCAAGCUUAAAAUCUCUGUGCCAGUUUGGCAUGGCGAAUUGUAGUCUAUGGAGGCGCUGUCAGUGCGAUUGUUCGGGGUAAGUUCCUUGGAAGAGGACAGCAUCGAGGGUGAUACUCCCGUAUGUACCUGUUCAGUCGCGCGUACGACACGUUUUCUUCGAGUCGCGUUGUUUGGGAAUGCAGCGCAAAGUAGGUGGUAAAUUCCAUCUAAAGCUAAAUAUUGGUGCGAGACCGAUAGCGAACAAGUACCGUGAGGGAAAGAUGAAAAGAACUUUGAAAAGAGAGUUAAAGAGUACCUGAAACUGCUGAAAGGGAACCGAAUCGUUUCCAGUGUCUAUAAUCCAUGGUAUAUUUCAUUGGCGYGUGAGUGCGUGCAGCGUUUUGGAAGCGGUCUCCGCUCCUGUCGUUGUUGUGCAUUUGCUUGCUGGUGCCCUGUGCUGUGGUGGGACGUCAGAGUCAGUUUGUAUGUUGCGGGAAAUGGUUAUCAGGGAGGUAGGUCGCUUCGGUGGCUGUUAUAUCCUGGUAACUAGUCGUCGUGGCUGAGACUGAGGUGCCUACAACGCGCUUUCGAGUCUGCGGGCUUCUCGUGUGGCUGUUUGCUUUGAUAGCUUGCUAUGUUGGUGAAUAAGUCGUGCGAUUGAGACCUGUAGUAACUUGUUGCCGUUCGGGACUUUGACGAAAUGGAGCGAUCCGAC